UGCGUAGGCGGAUUGAUAAGUCAGAGGUGAAAUCCCACAGCUUAACUGUGGAACUGCCUUUGAAACUGUUAGUCUUGAGUUAUAUGGAAGUAGAUAGAAUGUGUAGUGUAGCGGUGAAAUGCAUAGAGAUUACACAGAAUACCGAUUGCGAAGGCAGUCUACUACGUAUAUACUGACGCUAAUGGACGAAAGCGUGGGGAGCGAACAGGAUUAGAUACCCUGGUAGUCC
rnacentral:rRNA from 1 species